UGCCUUUUUGUGUUGCCCAUUCUUUGCUUUUCCCUCAAAAGAAUGUGGUGUCAGCAAAGGCAUACAGUAAAGUCUUGGUUUGGCCUUUACUAGGUAGCUUACAUGCUGCCUAUUGCAAAGCUCUGUACCAAGCACACUG
ensembl:snoRNA